UUUAUGUAAUUUUGUAAAGAUUUUAGUUUAUGGCAACCGAACUGAACCGAACCGUCUAUUUUCUGUUUGGUUUGGUUAUUCUUUGAAGGUCGGUUUGGUUUGGUCUAUUUUUUUCAUUGAUUCGGUUAUUCAGUUUUUCUAGUUUGUUUCGAUUUGGAACCGAACCGACCGAGUGCUCCCCCCUAGAAAACAAGUUUGAUAUUGGCUUAAUAGGUAGUCAGUUAUAGCUAGCAUAACAUGUCUCCAAGCAUAUCAACGGUUAAGAAAAGAAAAGUAAAUUUACUUUGUUUGAGUGCAAGUAGAAGGCACCUGCGCUUGCUUGAGAAUCUUCUCUUCCAUAAUCAGACCCAUUUUCUUGAGUAAUUAUAUAGUAAUUCAGUGAUUUCAUGUAGGAUGCGUCGAUAGAAUGGCAAACUACUGACAAGUUAACAUGUAGAUAAAUUUAGUUAUAACAAAAAAAAAAAAA
rnacentral:misc_RNA from 1 species